rnacentral:lncRNA from 1 species
CUUAUAGAUCCUUUUGUAUCUCAUCUUUCCUGGGAUCCUUUUCAUUCCUUAACAUAUUAAAUAUCAUUGGUCCUCUCUGAAAUGUCAGUUUCUUGUUUGCUUUCCUGUCUACUUAAUAAAAUUAAAUUUUUUUAAAUUUUAUAGCACAGGUAUCCUUCCUGCUGAGACUGCAGUUGCAGUACCUGUGUGUUGUUAUCAGCUUUCUUGCUAAGAUUCUUCUGUGUGGUCCUAUGGAUGUUUAUAAUAAAAAUGGUUUUCCAUACCCAUGCUGACUGAUACUCAGAAUGUAAUCUAUCUCCUGUUUCAAAGCAUUAGACUCUGUACUGUACAAUAUAGCCCUUCUGAAAAAAUACCUAAAGGCUACUUUCUUAUACAUUAGCAGGUCUUGGAACCAGUUGGGUAUCAGGACUGGUUCUUACAUGGGUUUUCUAAAUACUGAUGUCUUCAGUCUGCCGUUAUUUAGGGCUAUUUUGAUGUCCAGAUAGUGGAUUUGGGGUUGGGUUAUUUUUUGGGUUUAUCUCUUGGGUUAUUUUUUCAAUUCUUAGGGUGAGACCAUAUGUAUCUAGAGUAAGGGCUUUGAUAAAAUCCUGUAAUCUUGCACUAUCUUUCCAUACAGUCAUAAUGCCAUAUAUAUACCUCUCAUAGAAUUUCAAGGGUGGCUUCAAAGUGUGUAAUGUUUCAUUUUUUACAUUUCUAAGAAUUCUCUCUGCCAAUGAACCUGCUAUUGGGCUUCCUAUUGGAACAUUUCCAGUUUGUUCAUAAAUUUUGUCUUUAAAUUUGUAAUACAAUCCAUAGCAGAUUAUAUGGGCUAUUUCCUUUAGUAUAGGUGCUCUUUCUUGGGCUUUUGGGAUGUUCUCUAACAGAAACCUAUAGAAUGUUAUGCAGGUUGGCUUGAGGUAUAGGGAUGGAUAUAGGUUGUCGAAAUUGUAUACUGCUGGUAUAUCUCCUUGACCCACUCAAUGCUAUGUAUAAUUGUCAAGAAAUUUGUUGUUACAGUUGUCGAAGUAUCCAUUUCUCCUAGGAUUGAUGUGCACCAUCGGGCGAUAACUUUCUCUAAGUUGUAUGUAGAGAAUGACUUUUUUUCAACUAUUAGCCUUCCAGUCAAUGGGCUCUUGUGGGUUUUGAUGUAUGCAAAAAAUCUUGGGCAUGCCGGUGCAUCUAUCCUCUCAUGUUUCCAUAUUGGAGGAAAGAUCUAAUGCUUUGUAAUCUUGUUUAAUGCAGCUGCUAAUUUCAUGGUAGGAUUUAAAACCAUUUGCCUAAGUCCAAUUUGUUCAAUGUACACCUCUAGGAAAGACUCAUACAUAUAUCUAACCAAAAGGACCAUUUUAUUGCUUUUAUUCUCCCUUUUUAUAAUAUAAUUGUUAUUGUUAAGUCAGGAAACUAUUUGUCUGAUGACGUGUAUGUCAUGUGCAUUGAGUUUUUCUUCUUUGUACUUGCUCCUGCUCAUUUUCUGGUUUAUAUAAGUCCACUAAGUCUAUUCUUCUCUUGGGUGUUUAUGCUCUGUAGCAAGUCUCCCACUAUUGGUAUGUCAUCUAUGGCAAUGGAUCUAAACAGAAUAGCACAUGAAAGGCCUUUUUUAAGAAUUUCCUCGGCAUAUGGUGGGAGAGUAAUGUUGCCUAUUAUUGUUAUUGAUUGGCUUAAGGUAAUGUGUGUCCUCCUAUAUGAUUUGAGCUGGCAUUUAAAAAUCCAUUUAAACUUUUUAAUGUACUUCUUCCUCAGGUUAUCUUUUGAGUGCUAUUGUUCUAUGCUCAAAGUUGUCUAAAAAUGAUAUAGUGCUACCUUUUGUACUAUUUGGUUCCUGUAAUAUCUUUCUUCAU